GACGAACGCUGGCGGCGUGCUUAACACGUGCAAGUCGAACGGAAAGGCCCUGCUUUUGUGGGGUGCUCGAGUGGCGAACGGGUGAGUAACACGUGAGUAACCUGCCCUUGACUUUGGGAUAACUUCAGGAAACUGGGGCUAAUACCGGAUAGGAGCUCCUGCUGCAUGGUGGGGGUUGGAAAGUUUCGGCGGUUGGGGAUGGACUCGCGGCUUAUCAGCUUGUUGGUGGGGUAGUGGCUUACCAAGGCUUUGACGGGUAGCCGGCCUGAGAGGGUGACCGGCCACAUUGGGACUGAGAUACGGCCCAGACUCCUACGGGAGGCAGCAGUGGGGAAUAUUGCACAAUGGGCGGAAGCCUGAUGCAGCAACGCCGCGUGCGGGAUGACGGCCUUCGGGUUGUAAACCGCUUUCGCCUGUGACGAGGCGUGAGUGACGGUAAUGGGUAAAGAAGCACCGGCUAACUACGUG
rnacentral:rRNA from 1 species